AUGAACGCUGGUGGCGUGCCUAAUACAUGCAAGUCGCGCGCACGGACGAGAAGCUUGCUUCUCUGAUGUUAGCGGCGGACGGGUGAGUAACACGUGGAUAACCUACCUAUAAGACUGGGAUAACUUCGGGGAACCGUAGCUAAUACCGGAUAAUAUUUUGAACCGCAUGGUUCAAAAGUGAAAGACGGUCUUGCUGUCACUUAUAGAUGGAUCCGCGCUGCAUUAGCUAGUUGGUAAGGUAACGGCUUACCAAGGCAACGAUGCAUAGCCGACCUGAGAGGGUGAUCGGCCACACUGGAACUGAGACACGGUCCAGACUCCUACGGGAGGCAGCAGUAGGGAAUCUUCCGCAAUGGGCGAAAGCCUGACGGAGCAACGCCGCGUGAGUGAUGAAGGUCUUCGGAUCGUAAAACUCUGUUAUUAGGGAAGAACAUAUGUGUAAGUAACUGUGCACAUCUUGACGGUACCUAAUCAGAAAGCCACGGCUAACUACGUG
rnacentral:rRNA from 1 species